rnacentral:rRNA from 1 species
UGGUGGAGUGAUUUGUCUGGUUAAUUCCGAUAACGAACGAGACCUUAACCUGCUAAAUAGUUACGCAAAGGCGACUUUGUGGUAACUUCUUAGAGGGACAAAGUACGUCUAGUACUUGGAAGUUUGAGGCAAUAACA